rnacentral:rRNA from 1 species
UGAGGAAUAUUGGUCAAUGGGCGCGAGCCUGAACCAGCCAAGUCGCGUGAGGGACGACGGUCCUACGGAUUGUAAACCUCUUUAGGCGGGGAGUAAUGUGCUCUACGAGUAGAGUAGUGAGAGUACCCGCAGAAUAAGCAUCGGCUAACUCCGUGCCAGCAGCCGCGGUAAUAUGGAGGAUGCGAGCGUUAUCCGGAUUUAUUGGGUUUAAAGGGUGCGCAGGCUGUGCAUCAAGUCAGCGGUAAAAUCUCGGGGCUCAACCCCGUUUAGCCGUUGAAACUGGUGUGCUGGAGUGUGCGCGAGGAAGGCGGAAUGCGCGGUGUAGCGGUGAAAUGCAUAGAUAUUGCGCAGAACUCCGAUUGCGAAGGUAGCCUUCCAGUGCAUGACUGACGCUGAGGCACGAAAGCGUGGGUAUCGAACAGG